rnacentral:rRNA from 1 species
UACGGAGGGAGCUAGCGUUGUUCGGAAUUACUGGGCGUAAAGCGCACGUAGGCGGCUACUCAAGUCGGGGGUGAAAGCCCGGGGCUCAACCCCGGAACUGCCCUCGAAACUAGGUGGCUAGAAUCUUGGAGAGGUCAGUGGAAUUCCGAGUGUAGAGGUGAAAUUCGUAGAUAUUCGGAAGAACACCCGUGGCGAAGGCGGCUCUCUGGGACGGUACUGACGCUGAGACGCGAAAGCGUGGGGAGCGAACAGG